CCAUCCGCCCCAUAUCUUCACUUCUGCUUCCAGACCCGAGAAGACCAGAACCCGAAAGAAGAUCUCCAGAAGACUGUAGUCUCGCCGUGAUCGUCCUGACAAGAUACUCAUUGAAGCGAUACCAUGAGGCUGUUUGUCGCCACGCUGUUCGUGACAAUGCUUGUCACCGCAAUGCUGAUUGAGGACUCCGAAUCAAUCGGAUCCGCUUUCAUACCCGGCAACAAAAAAAAAAAGCCAAAGGGUUGGUGGAAUGGAAAGUUACAGGCAGAUCAAAAGCUGAGUGAGGAAGUGGAAGAGGCGCGAUCUCUUCUGGAUAGCCUGAGCGACCUGAUGAAUGACCCUGACGAGCAGCUGGACCUGAGUGACCUGCGGGGGUUACAGGAACCGGAGGAGCAAGACGACGCCCGUCGCCUCUGGUAACCUGCAGCCGACUGGACGACCUGAUGACCGGAGGUUUCAGUGGCGUCAAAAGGGCAGAACCAAACGUUAGGUUAAUGAACGAGAAUCGUGGAAAUGCAGUGUCAUGUUAAUCCAUCCUACUUGUAUUUUUCCCUGCUCAUGUUUGAUAUUAAUUAUGCAUUGUAACUUACUUAUUGGAAGUCAUGAUAUUACAUACCUCAUAAAAAACUAUUUCAAAAAUUAGUUUUAACAGUAGAUACAAGGCUUACAGUACCCUACCUUAGCAGUGAAUAACAAGGCUACUGUUUUCCCGGGGAUUGUUCAAUAAAACCUACUGAAGAAAAAUGAAAAA